rfam:Pan troglodytes isolate Yerkes chimp pedigree #C0471 (Clint) chromosome 17, whole genome shotgun sequence.
GCCGGGCGCGGUGGUGGGUGCCUGUAAUCCCAGCUACUUGGGAGGCUGAGGCAGGAGAAUCGCUUGAACCCAGGAAGUGGGGGUUGCAGUGAGCCGAGAUAGUGCCACUGCACUUCAGCCUGGGCGACAGAGCAAGACUCUGUCUCAA